GGCAUGGCCGAGUGGUAAGGCGGGGGACUGCAAA
rnacentral:tRNA from 1 species